AUUAGUGUGCGUCUCAUCUCCAUGGACCAGAAAAACUCAUCACAGGGGAUAUAAGAAAGGAAAGCAGGUUAAUUCGAUGAACAGUGAAGGUGGGAUGGGGACAGAAUUCAGCUGUAGAACUCACAGAAUUUGGGGUACCAGCUGCUGAGGUCUUACGCUUUUGCACAUGCUUCAAGGCCCUGUGCCCUCAAUGGUUGGAGCUGUACUGCCAGGGUUUCCUUGGCCACUGCUGUACUUGGAAUCUAUUUCCCUCAAGGGCGCACAGUAGGGAUUCUGCAUCAGGCUGGAUUAAUCUUCUGGUGGUUUUCACACAGGGUUGGUGGAGUAAUUAUGGGCAUUGCUAUCCCCAUCCACCAACCAGCCUCCCAAGGGAUGAGGUUGUCCAUGCACAGGUUCUCCACAGGGUGUGGAGAGGACUGAUGCUCUCUCUGGAAAUGGCAAGAUCUGUUAGUGGAGGGUUUUGAAGUGGCCCAGUGACCGAAAAUGAGUUGUAACAUUAAGUAUGCAUUAUAGUAGUAUGGGCCAUAGAUAUAAAAGUGAAAUCCACAACAGGGGAAAGAGAGAUACAUUAUUGAUGUAUUGCAGCAAAUGCACCUGCUUCAUGGUGUAGGGAUCACUCUGAAUAUGUGGUGUUCAUCAAGGGUUCCAAAAAAUUCAGUAGAAACUGUACAUCUCUUUUUUGCACCACAGCAGGCUAGAAAAACAAGAUAUGCUAUAUAAGUCCUGUCCUUAACCAUUGAACCUCUGGUAAACAGUUACACACUAUUGGAUUUGAUGAUAUAAAAUUGUUCUGGUACUUUUUUUAUUUAUUUUAUUUGCAUCAGAUUUUAACCCAACUGAGGUGAUACAAUCUGACCUGGACCAUUAUCUUUAAAAGAAUGCACUAAAUGUUGGCAAAUUGCCUGAAAAUGUCAUUGCCUGGAAGUUUCUAAUAUAGCAAGUAAAAUAAAUACUAUGUUUGUUUACCAUAAAAGUAAAAAAUGAAGAGAACAUGUUUUUAUGGAAGAGACUCUAAAAUAUUUAUGCCUUUGACUUAAUGGAUUCAAUUUUGAGUUAGAAAGAUCAAUGUUUUUCCUGUGUAGCAGAGAAGAAAAAUACUUCUGAGAGAAUUUUAGAUUUGUUCUCAUGUUUCAUUAACCAACAGAUGUUAUGCUAGUUAACUAUUUUAUCACAGAUAACAGGCAGUGAUUUAUAUUUGAUUAGGAAAAUUAUAUAUAUAUAUAUUAAGCCCUUAAAGUGGGUUAUUGAUCGCACAGCCUAGUGGUUCUCAAACUAUGGUUUGUAGCCUGCUGAUUUUGCACAGAGCUGCUUCUGUAACAAAUGAGAACAUCUUGAAGCAGUGAUACUUUAUGCUAACUAGUUUAAUCAAACUUAAGAAUUUUGAGAGGUUCUUUUGUGGACAUCUCAACUACCGUAUAUUCUCGUUCAUAAGCUGACUUUUUUUUAGUAAAAAAGGGAAGCAUCAGAGAAAGGGGGGUCAGCUUAUGAACGGGUAUAGAGAGGGAGAGGUGGGACACAGCCCCUGCCCCCAACAGAGGGAGCAAGGAGAGGCAGCACAGCCAGCAGACCCAGAAGGGAAGAGGCGGGGCCAGAGUCUCUCCCCCCAGCCAGCUGCUUGGGGCUGGCAAACUGCAGCUGUACUGCUAGGCCCUGCCCACCUGGCCUAGCCUGCUGGAAGAUGUGGCCAUGCCGCCUGGUCUGGCCUGCCAGAGCAGGCUGCGGCCGCAUUGCCCAGUCUGCUGGAGCAGCUCCAGUCAGGCCAGAGACAUCCUCCCCAGAUAAAGUGGGAAUUAGAGGGUCAGCUUAUGAAUUAUAGGGUCUCUUAUGAAUGGGUCAUAAAAAUGUUGCAUUUUUACUUAUCCAUUUUGGGGGGGGUCGGCUUAUAAACGAACUGGCUUAUGAUCAAGUAUAUACGGAACUUAAAACAACACAAAAUAUCCAAGUCCCACAGAAACCAAAACUCUCUGUAUCAUGUUUGGCUGUUCCAUGGGCUUCUGCCAGGUGUUGUUUUUUUUAGUGUAAAUUUAGAAAGUAUGGUCUUUUAGAAAUGUAAUUAAAAAUCAGAGGGCAGUGUUAACUCUAGGAAAGAGAGAUUUGGCAGCAGGUGUUCUGUGUGGUAGCUUCCUUUGAAAACCAGCAGAAACAGUCACACAACUAGCAAGAGUUGAUCUUUUAUCAUAGGAACAGUGACUUCUGUGCCUCAGAGGGCAAAGUGUAGCACACCUACAGUUGAGGUGGUCAGUGGCUCCGAGGGAAGCUAUGCUGCCAGGUAGGAAAGAGUCCUACAGAAAAGAGGCAGACAGCAUUUGGAGUGCAGCUUCCAUCUCCAGCAGAUUCUUGGAAUUAGCAGGGUUUGGUACCCAUGUUCCCUGUGUUACUCAAUAUCCCCUUACUUUUUGAAGAGAGCAUUUGUUGGGAGGGCUGCAAGUUGACCUUGACAUGUAAGUUACUCAUUCUGCACAUUUGCUGAAUCCAAAUCAAUGAAUCAUGCUGCUUUACUAGUGAACUUCUAUUUUCCAUCCCCUUUCCACAGAAUACAUAACUUACUGUUGCUGAAUUGAGCCCAGAGGUUAUGUAUGACCUGUCAACUUGUGUAAUAUAUCAAAACUUACAUAUAGCAAACUUUGUUCUGAGGGUUAAUUGGACUGUGAUUAAUAUGAUUUAUUGUAUCUUACAUUAUUAUGGUUUCUGUUCUGUCCUUUGUUAUACAUAUUUAUUUUUGAAGCUGCUUAAAAAAAAUAACUCUUCUAUUUAAAAGAAUAAGAAACAACAUGUUAAGGGGGAUGCUAAACACAACAUUGUUUAGUGGUGGAAAUAAAUCUCUGGAAUUAGCAGGAAAUGUACAGGUAGAAAAAUGAGAAGCUAUUCAUGGAAUGUUUUAACAUGCUUAGACUCCAUGCCUUGAAAGUCAAAAUGCAUCAGAAGGUAGAUACUUGGAGAGGUUUACUCUCCUUGCAGAUGGAUAGGUUAACCUUUUAACUGCUGCUGAAUGUACCAGGAACAUUAACAUGCAUCUCCAUGAAAAUCUUAAUGGAGGACCUGCCAUGAAAUGACAUGAAGGAAUUCAUGCUUUUUCUUAGCUUGGGCGUAGAUUGUGUAAAGAAACCUGACUAGAUGAAUCGGGGAAAACACAUUAAGAGGCAUAGGGUAAGGUAAGAUGGAGCAGGGAAAAGAAUGAAAGAGGGGAAAAAACAAAAGAAGGGGUCUUCCUGUCAUAAAAUGUGGAAGUGAAAGGACUUUAUUUAGAUACCACAUUUUGUUAACUGAGUGCUUCUAAAAGGUGCCAAGUCAAGAAGCUGCCUAUUCAUCCACAGAAGGAAUAAAGACAGGUUUCAGAGUAGCAGCCGUGUUAGUCUGUAUUCACAUCGGAAAUGCAUCCGAUGAAGUGAGCUGUAGCUCACGAAAGCUUAUGCUCUAAUAAAUGUUAGUCUCUAAGGUGCCACAAGUACUCCUUUUCUUUUUAGAAGGAAUAAAGUAACAGUACAACUGCA